rnacentral:lncRNA from 1 species
CCAUAAAAACGGUACCCCAAUCAAGAUCAUCUCCUUUAUACACUUGUUAAUCUUCAUGAUUUUGGGGGACUCCAGUUAACCAUUCAUUUGCCUCAUCAAAUAUUGUCCAACAAAAUUGGAUCAAUAGUAUCGCGAGCUUCAUAACGUCGCCUCAAUCUUCUAUUGUAUUUAAUAUACACUAGAUCAUUGAGACGCGAUAGCUCAAGCUUAUUCCUUUUCUUGGAGUGAAUCUGCGCAUUAAAUUAUAAGUAUAAAUAAA